UGCAGAAGGAGCCGUUAAGGCAUGUUGGACAUCCCUCGCAUGGGAUUAUUUUGAGUGCCAAACGUGCGUUUUGUCCAUAUGACGCAUUUCCAGGCUUUUAAGAAGCUGGUUUUUUAAAGCCAGGCAGUCUUAACCCCGUAUACGGAACUUCAGUUUCUCAGGAUUGGCCUCUUUCUUAUCCUAACAACGCCAGGUUACCCCCCCUCACUACCGAUUCCGAAUCUGGUAUCGAG
rnacentral:misc_RNA from 1 species